rnacentral:rRNA from 1 species
UACGGGGGGGGCAAGCGUUGUUCGGAAUUACUGGGCGUAAAAGGCGUGUAGGCGGCCAACUAAGUCCGACGUGAAAUCCCCAGGCUUAACCUGGGAACUGCGUCGGAUACUGGAUGGCUUGAAUCCGGGAGAGGGAUGCGGAAUUCCAGGUGUAGCGGUGAAAUGCGUAGAUAUCUGGAGGAACACCGGUGGCGAAGGCGGCAUCCUGGACCAAUAUUGACGCUGAGGAGCGAAAGCUAGGGGGAGCAAACGGG